rnacentral:rRNA from 1 species
GACGAACGCUGGCGGCGUGCUUAACACAUGCAAGUCGAACGGUAAGGCCCUUCGGGGUACACGAGUGGCGAACGGGUGAGUAACACGUGGGUGAUCUGCCCUGCACUUCGGGAUAAGCCUGGGAAACUGGGUCUAAUACCGGAUAGGACUCCGGACUGCAUGGUCUGGGGUGGAAAGCUUUUGCGGUGUGGGAUGGGCCCGCGGCCUAUCAGCUAGUUGGUGAGGUAAUGGCUCACCAAGGCGACGACGGGUAGCCGGCCUGGGAGGGUGACCGGCCACACUGGAACUGAGACACGGUCCAGACUCCUACGGGAGGCAGCAGUGGGGAAUAUUGCACAAUGGGCGAAAGCCUGAUGCAGCAACGCCGCGUGAGGGAUGAAGGCCUUCGGGUUGUAAACCUCUUUCAGCACCGACGAAGCGCAAGUGACGGUAGGUGCAGAAGAAGGACCGGCCAACUACGUGCCAGCAGCCGCGGUAA